rnacentral:lncRNA from 1 species
CGCCGUGCUAGAAUUCUAAAAUUGGUCAAAAUGGGCCCUGAGACUAUUUUUGGCUUUGUUUGGGAUAUUUGUAGGUACUUGUAGCGCAUUUUAAUUUCUGAAAAAAAUUCAGGGAACUCGGAAAUCGCCUGUAGGCGCAGUGAACAGAUUAGCUUUUCGGGUACCAAGUUGCAUAAGAAUCCCUCACUCUAUCCUUCAUUAUGGAAUUAAAGUUUAAUUUUAAAUAAUAUGGUAUUUCGUAAAACAUA